UGUAUAUUCUGAAUAAAUUGGUGCAUAAUUUAAUAAUUUCUCCUUGAUAAGUGAGUGUUUGUAUUUUAGCCGGGGGUGUGACCGGAGCCGUGUUCAACCCGGCGCUGGCCUUUUCCACGCAGUUCCCCUGCAGUGGGAACUCAUUCCUGGAGUACUGCUUUGUGUACUGGUUGGGUCCACUUCUGGGUAUGAUGAGCUCAGUGCUUCUCUUUGAUAAACUCACGACUGCAUUUUCA